rnacentral:lncRNA from 1 species
CCAUUUUAACUUGAUUUAUUGAAAAAUAAAAAUCACUUGAAAGAGCAUAUGAUGGAAACUGUACUUAACAGAAAGGGGUGUUUGAAUAUAGCCCUGGGGCUGGAGAGUGAGGCUGACUAAUAUAGGAAGGGGGGGCAGGGAGAGCUAAAGGUAAGGCAGUGGGAAGAAAUACAGUACCUGCUAAAAAUUCUACAGCUAGCCUUUCAGCACCCCGGGGAGCUCCCAGCAUUCAUUCCUGGGCAGGGUUUGACAGCUGGAUUGACUGAAGGACAGCAUCCAGGUAGUUUAUCUAGAAGGGUUAGGAAACGGCAUCAAAGGGAACAGAGGUACAAAAUCUAAAAGAAUUCUAAUGCUUAAACAUGUUGCUAGAACCCCGAUCGUGGUGAACCUGAAAAAUCAGGAAGGUUCAUCCGGGUCCCAGCUCAGCCACCAACCAGCUGACCGUGGGCAAGUCAUUUCCCGCUUUCCUCUGCUGUGAAAGAAGCUGGGCUCAAUGCCAACCUCGCCUCAGGACCCAGCAUUCUGCAACGUCCAGUCUGGCAACCUGAGCUCAGCCAGAUAACUGGAUCGGCUCCUCGAGAAAUGAGCUACCAGGAAUCGGGAGCCAGAGCGGCCUGGUGCUGGCCUUUCUCCCCAGAUCGUAAGCUCGGCCGUGUGGAAAUGCAGAGCGGUGAGAAUCAGCCCUCAUGAUUAUGAGAAGCCCACUCCUACUGCGUCAGUGAGCUGGGCACGCCGACUGUGAGGGAGCGCCACACAGAGGCAGAUUCAGGGUACUGCAGCUGACCAGGACAAAGUGGUCCCAUCGAAGGAGAUGGGUGUACUGCAGGCAGGAGAGGGUUGUGAGUUUUGGCAGUGGGUGAGGAGUCAGAGGAGCAAGAGGAAAAGCCAUCCAGCGCCUGGCCGCAUGUCAAACCACCCACAUCAGAUGCCCUCCCCUUAAAGCAGAGCGUGAACACCACUGAACCCAAUAGAAGCAGCUCUUCCAGUACAGAGGCCACGCUUGGUAUCAAGGCCCUUGAUUCCUGUGAGGCGACCACCAUCACAGCAGGGGUCAAGGAAUCAUCUCUGUUGACUGGAAUCAAAUGAGGUAGGCCAAUUCAUUCCCUCCCACCUCCCCUUAUGAACAGGUAGGUGGCUUAUGGCUGAUCAUCUCCCACCCAGAGCCAGCAAGCAUCCUGGAGGCACGGGAAGGCUACCGCUGUCCCGGUGCUGGCAGAGGAGGCCGACUGGAGAACUGCUACCUUCUUGCUGCCAGUGUCUGUGCCACUGAGAACUCCAAGAGCAGAGGCUUGCCAGAUGCAGGAUGUAAGGGCAGGCACUCGCAUGGGGGGAGAGCCAUGAUACCCACCCGGAGGUCCAAAUCCACACGAUUAAGUGUAAUGUGCUGGGUGUAAGACACUGGAGAGGGGUGCACACACCAAUAUACACCUGAGUGUGUAAGAGGGGAAAGGUGGCACUUGGGGAAGAUCGUGAGCCUGGCCUACUUUGUUAAGGAGACUCCUUUGCUCUCGAAUGUAAAACUGCCAGAGCCCAGAGCCCCCACAGGGCAACCUUUGGCACAUUCUCCAAACACCCCUAUCUGGGAAGGUGUUAUAGGGACAUCCAUCCCUAGCUCAAGGCAAUUCAGCAAAGCUUUACAAAGGGAACUUCUGCGCACAAGGCACAACUGAGGGGGCCCCCCCGAAGAGCUGAGAGCACUACUCAGAUCAGAAGGGAGUACUAGCAGCAGAAAUGUGGGGAUCCGACCCGAGCAGGCAGAUCCCCGGCUGCUCUGACUCACUGCUCCACAUCGAGGGACAGGGGCGUGUCAUGCUUGGGAAAGGCCUUCAUUAGACUGCUAGGAUAAACACAGCCCAGCUUGUCUGGGACUGGGAAGCCCCACACCCUAUAGAGUGAUAGGCUCAACCGGUCCCCAAUAUAGAAAGGUCCCAUCCAUUUGGCACUGCUGCCAUUCCUGGGGAGAGACAACAAGAGGACCUGGUCGCCCACACUCCACUCGUUCUCCUGGCUCUCCCUCUUGAAACGCCUGUUCUCAGCCUUCUCGCUGGCCUUCUCGGCCACUCUCCAGUGGAGGUCCAACAGCUCCCGCAUCAGCUGCAGCAGGAAGGCAUCCAUCUUGAGGCCUUCAAUGUUCGCCCGGCUCAUCUCCCACCACACGGGCUCCAUCAGCUUCGCCUCGCUCCCAGUCAGCACCUGGAACGGUGUGGCCUCUGUGGUGGAGGCCCUAAAAGCCAGGUGCAGCAGGGGCAGAGAAGCCGCCCACUUCUUGCCAUACAGAAAGAUGAACUCCUUCAGGGCCCUCUUGAAUUCCCAGUAGGCCUCUGAACUCAUCAGACAGGGGAACUGGAGGGCCCUACUCAGUGUAGUCACUUGGGCUCCCAGGGCCAGCCCACAGCUCACCAGAACAUGCCGGGCAAACUGGGGACCUUGGGCCGCCUCCAGCCUGAUGGGAACACCCCACCUUGCAAACACGUGCUGCAGGAGCACCUGGGCCACAGCCACAUGCGUAUAGGGCUUCAGAGGGAAUGCCUCCACCCACCGGGUGUUGGCAUCGGCCACAAUGAGCACGUGCUUGUGACCCUCCUCACUCACAGUGACUGGACCCACCACCUCGAUCUGCAGACUGGACCAAGGAGCUGUCGACCUGAGAGGCCACGGGGACUCGAUAACUUUCAGCUCCCCGCCUAUGAGAUUCCGGGGGAUGCAGAACAAACAGCUCCUGCAGUAAUCUCUCACGUGGUCCUGCAUCCCAGGCCACCAUCCCAGCAGCCUCACCGUCUUGUAGGUGUCCUCCGGCCCCUGGUGCUCCCCCAUGGGGCUGUCAUGCACAGAGAAGAUUAGAUCCCUCCGAAGUUGCCUUGGGACGACCCAAACCCUGGGAUGCCUUUCCCCCUUGAACAUGAGCAGGCCACUGUCUUGGUCCAGGCUGAGUGAGUUAAAGGCAGAACUGAAAGGGGAAGGCCCGGACAAUUUCUGCCCUGCCUGCAACUUGGCAAUGAUAUCGGCCAGGGUGGCGUCACUCAGCUGUAAGGCCAGCAAGUUGGGCUUCCUGCCUUUAGGAUGGGGAGUCACCAUUGGCACUGGUGCAUCCUUUGGCAGAUCCCACCACUGCCCGCCCCCUUGGGCGCCCUGCUUGGCCAGGGUGUCCACCGUCACAGCAAACAGAGAGCCCCGGUAAGAGGUUCGGUAGAUAAAGGGAAGGGGUGAGAAGCCAGAUGUGAGAGAGAUGAUGUAGGAGAGCAGGCUCGGAUGAGGUAGUGAAGCCCCGUCAGAUGACAGGAAACCCCGGACUCUCCAGAGGGGCAGGAGCUCCCAGAGAACGCUGAAGAUCCAGUUGCAGUGGGUGAGGAAAACCACGGGGAGCCGGGACUGGCUGAAGCGCUCUAGGCCGCAGGCCACGGCCGCCAGGUGGGCGUAUGUGGUCGUGUAAGGAGGACAGGAAAAGGCAAGGGAGACCGGAGGGCUGGUGGGGGACAAGAUGUAGAGACCAAAGCCAGCACACAACUCGUCGUCACGGUAGAAGCAAUAACCAGACACAUGGACACAGAUGAAAGUAGACAGGUCAGAAGAAGGAGGCAGAGGCUGGAAAACUCGAGGCAUGGAGGAAGGGGGUGUCAGCAGCUGGUUCUCCCCCAGCAGGCCCUGGAGAAGGGACAAUUCCAAUUCCCUCUUGCCUUUGUCCUGCAGCAAGAGAGACCAUCGAAUCAACCACGCUUUCGAAGCCCUACGCCUAUCCCAUGCCUCAUUAUCCACCGUGGUCCGGGAGGCAUAGGAAAGACGUAAAACCACUGGAUUGUCUCCAACACAUCGGGCAAAAUGCUUGAGGGCCCAAGCCACAGCAUAGGGGCUGUCCCCCCCUGACUGAGGACCCUCGCUGUCUUCAUCGGGGAGGAGAGGUUUCGAGGUAUAAGCGAUAGGGUGCUUCCUUCCUGAGUGCUCCUGAUGCAGGCUAGCCGUCAGUGACACUUGGCUGACGGUCACUUCCAGGUAGAAGGGCAGGUUGGGGUUGCAGGCAGCCCCUCCCCGGUGGGUGGAUGUUCAACGCUGGACACCUCUGCAGCCGUGGCCACUUGAAGAGUUUCAGACACCGUUGGAGCUUCAGAUACUGAAUGACCUGUCAUCCCAGUUUGAGCCAGUGGCCUCUCUUGAGUUGUGGAUCCCCCUUGCCCUGUGGACAGUGCUACAGGGAAUGGCUUUUCCAGGCUUUUACAAUCUGACAGUGCACUUCCUUUAUCUCCCACAGAUGUUGAAGAUGGUCCUACUUGCA